rnacentral:rRNA from 1 species
CGGAGGGAGCUAGCGUUGUUCGGAAUUACUGGGCGUAAAGCGCACGUAGGCGGCUAUUCAAGUCAGAGGUGAAAGCCCGGAGCUCAACUUCGGAACUGCCUUUGAAACUAUAUAGCUAGAAUUCUGGAGAGGCGGGUGGAAUUCCGAGUGUAGAGGUGAAAUUCGUAGAUAUUCGGAAGAACACCAGUGGCGAAGGCGGCCCGCUGGACAGACAUUGACGCUGAGGUGCGAAAGACGUGGGGGAGGCAAACAGGAUU